rnacentral:rRNA from 1 species
AUGUGAUCGUCUCUCGCAUAUCAAUAAGCGGAGGAAAAGAAACUAACAAGGAUUCCCCUAGUAACGGCGAGUGAAGCGGGAAGAGCUCAAAUUUGAAAUCUUAAAGGGUUUCCCUUUACGAAUUGCAGUUUAAAGAAGUGUUUUCUGUUGAGGUUUUGGUAAAAGUUCUUUGGAAUAGGACAUCAUAGAGGGUGAGAAUCCCGUAUUUGACCUUUACUUUCAACUUUGUGAUACACUUUCAAAGAGUCGGAUUGUUUGGGAAUGCAGUCCAAAAUGGGUGGUAAAUUUCAUCUAAAGCUAAAUAUUGGCGAGAGACCGAUAGCGAACAAGUACCGUGAGGGAAAGAUGAAAAGAACUUUGAAAAGAGAGUUAAACAGUACGUGAAAUUGUCAAAAGGGAAGCGUUUGACACCAGUGUUGUUUUUCUGAAAAUCAAUUAAAGAACUGUUUAUGCUAAGUUGUUUAGACUUUAUCAGCUAUCUGUUUAGUUUUGAGCUUUUCUUUAAUGCACUUUUCAGUUAACAAGUCAACGUCAAUUUCUUUUGCUGUAAAAAAGCUUGAGGAAGGUGGCUUGAGAUUCGUCUUAAGUGUUUAUAGCCUCUUGCCUAUGCAGUCGGAGAGAUUGAGGUCUGCAGCGUAGAUCCUUCGGGGCUAAAUGCAUUUGUGCUAAGUUAUAGCAUUUUAUAGACAACUUGUUGACUAUGAUUUGUCUUGUAGCUUACUCGCUUAUGUUAUUUUACCUACGCUUAGGAUGUUGAAGUCAUCGUAUCGCGC